rnacentral:siRNA from 1 species
AUAGUAGUCAGAAAUGCAAUCGGC